AUCAUUGGAGUUAUCGGAUGUGCAUGACUGGGCCCGACCAGAGCACACGCUUAAACGGGAACCAAUAAUGUACGACGAAAGUUGAUUCAAGUAAGGUGAUAACGAUGUAACAGUAAGAAAUCCUUAUCCAACAAUUAAUCGCACUCUAAUGUUAUAAGCAAACGGUUUGCUUAUACAUUAUUCGAUGGGGGAUGCUUCUAAAAAUCAAUGAUCUCGUUCAACGAAAGCGAUGAAAUGGAAUGCAAUGCAGAAGAAGUCUCGAAUACGACUCAAUAGUCGAAUUAAUUUCUUAAGUUAAGCAUGAGUUUGGGUACGUCGCAGCGUGGGAUAUACGAAUUAUCACCAUGGUGCUUUCGAUAGUUCCGAGGACUAUGAUUCUGUAUUAAUUUGGCAUGACGAAGGAUCAUGUUCACUCUUAGGGGGCAUGUUGACUCUAUGAGCUUGCAGCGAUUUCUAUGUUACUGUAUCAUUCACGGCAAGGCCUGUAUAAACAAUGAAUCGAAAUGAGUUGCAGACAUGAGGACUCUGUUGGCGAUAGCGCAGUUUAGUAUCAAGAGUCAAGAACCCAAAGAUGAUUUGGUAUUCGUUUUUACUCAUCCAGAAUCCUGAAGCCUUGGGUUCACCGUAUGGGAAAGACGUCGUUCAGCAAUAAAAUAGCCGCGACAUCUUGUACGCUACAAGUUAUUGAUUUGUCGCUUGAGACUCUCUCUCUCUCUCUCUCUCUAUUUGUCAAGUCGAUCGCACAAGUCGAUCUCAAUUUUCUAUAAUUUCCUUGACGGGGUACUGUUAAAAUCAACUAGAAGCACAUUGUUUAAAGUCAUUCCGCCCGAUUAGCGAGUAUAGAAACAGUCAAGCGAG